UGGUUGGGGAUGGACUCGCGGCCUAUCAGGUAGUUGGUGAGGUAAUGGCUCACCAAGCCGACGACGGGUAGCCGGCCUGAGAGGGUGACCGGCCACACUGGGACUGAGACACGGCCCAGACUCCUACGGGAGGCAGCAGUGGGGAAUAUUGCACAAUGGGCGCAAGCCUGAUGCAGCAACGCCGCGUGAGGGAUGACGGCCUUCGGGUUGUAAACCUCUUUUAGUAGGGAAGAAGCGAAAGUGACGGUACCUGCAGAAAAAGCACCGGCUAACUACGUGCCAGCAGCCGCGGUAAUACGUAGGGUGCAAGCGUUGUCCGGAAUUAUUGGGCGUAAAGAGCUCGUAGGCGGUUUGUCGCGUCUGCUGUGAAAUCCCGAGGCUCAACCUCGGGCUUGCAGUGGGUACGGGCAGACUAGAGUGCGGUAGGGGAGAUUGGAAUUCCUGGUGUAGCGGUGGAAUGCGCAGAUAUCAGGAGGAACACCGAUGGCGAAGGCAGAUCUCUGGGCCGUAACUGACGCUGAGGAGCGAAAGCGUGGGGAGCGAACAGGAUUAGAUACCCUGGUAGUCCACGCCGUAAACGUUGGGCGCUAGAUGUAGGGACCUUUCCACGGUUUCUGUGUCGUAGCU
rnacentral:rRNA from 1 species